rnacentral:rRNA from 1 species
UACGAACUGUGCGAACGUUAUUCGGAAUCACUGGGCUUACAGGGUGCGUAGGCGGCCUGGCAAGUCAGGUGUGAAAGCCCUCGGCUCAACCGAGGAAUUGCGCUUGAAACUGCCGGGCUCGAGUCAGCUAGAGGUGCACGGAACUUCCAGUGGAGCGGUGAAAUGUGUUGAUAUUGGAAGGAACACCGGAGGCGAAAGCGGUGCACUGGGGCUGGUCUGACGCUGAGGCACGAAAGCCAGGGGAGCGAA